CCGGCUCAGGCUCUGCUCCAAGCCUGGUCCUGGCUCAGGCUCUGCUCCCAACCCCAGCUCAGGCUCCGUCCCGAGCCUGGCCCCGGUCCCCCCGGCUCACUCUGAGGGGCCGGAGGCUCCGUGGGGCAGGGGGUCCCUGGCCGGUCUUGUUUUUGCAGCCAAACACGGGAAUCGGCGGCGGGGGGAGCGGGGAAAUGAAUUCUGUUGAGCUGGGGCUCUCCUGGCUGAGCUGCAGGAGGAAGCUGAGCAAUCCCUGGGCAGGGAUCUGCUGCAGAGGUCUGCUGCAGCCCAGGACAUGGAGCACCGGAGCACUCUUGUGUUGAACACGUUGCCCUGGAGUGCGCCCAGGUGAUCUCCAGGCCUAGGCCCGACAGAAGAGAGCCCGGUGCCCCAGUGUGUCAGGUGCAGACAAUGAGCUGUCCAGGGAACGAGCAGCAGGUCCCCUCUGCCCCUGCCCUCACGCUCGGAGUGACAGCAGCCAGGUGAGGGCUGUUAGGUUGAUGAGGGCUCAGAGCACUGCCAGUGAGGGCUGUUAGGUUGAUGAGGGCUCAGAGCACUGGCAGGUGAGAGUUGUUAGGUUGAUGAGGGGGCGGCUCCUGCCGGGGUGCUUUAAAAAGGGAGCCUCAGCUCACUUUGGCAUGGAGCUGCUGGAGGAGAGGUGCCUGUAUUGUGCUGCCAGGAGUGUCUUAUGGAGCAAUGGUGGUCCACUCAUAUUACACUGAGACCCCCUCACAGAGCGGCCAACAGCUCUGCUGAGAUCGUGCCCUGAUGUUUGGUUUACUUUGUGAGAGCUGACUGAGACACAGCAGCCCGGGGACAGCAGAAAAUUCCCUGAGGGCAGGAGGGCCUUCCAUCUGCACCCGACGCAGAUUCUCAUCGCCGGAAGUCCCAGAGAUAAGUGGAGGGCUAUGAGCCACAGAGGGGAUAUGCAAUUGGAUUAAAUCUGUGGCAGAGUGCCCCAUCCCAGGAAGUAAAGCUGGGUAUUGGCAGUAAAGGUCAAUGGAGCAAGUUGGUUCACUUGCCGGAUGUCCCAGCCCUGGAUGCCAGAGGCCAGAUGGGUGUAAGCUUAAGGUGCUGCUGCUGCCCUAGGUGUGCCGAGGAAUGUGGGAGAGCAGGUACCCUGUGGAGGUGCGGAGCCCGAGUUUGGAUAUGGCAGCACUGAAGCGGAUGCAGAGAAUGUCUCAACGUUCAUGAUGCCGACACGUUCUUUUCCAUCAAGAACAGAUUUUGUCUACUCAUCUCCUGAAAGAUAAGUGUUGGGGCUGGUGGUCAGGAGAAGAGGAAAAACCUUUUCCAUUCUAGGAGGCAAUUUAAAGCUAGCUUAGAUGAGAGGGUCCUAGAGGGAUGGACCAUUCGUGAGUAAAGGGAGAGCAUUUCUUCUCAGCCUCGUUGGCGCCUUCCCUGGCCAGGGCAGUUCUGCCCCCUCUCCAUGUUCUAGAGAGCUUUGUGGUGUCAGCUAUCUUCAAGAGUCCACAGGGUUAGGGUGCACCAGGGGAUGCCUGGCCCACCCUGGGAUCCAUGUCCUAGGAGGAACCCAAGAUGCAGGUUGUAGGGUUCAGCAGGGCACUUGACAGUGACACACAGAGGCUGAGGGAGGACUUGAGAGGGAAAGGACUCAAGGGCUAGAGAGCACACAGUGAAAAUAAGGGCUACAGGCAGGGAUACAAGCUAGAGUCCAGGUAUACCUGCCCUCAGAGCAGCCCUCCCAACACUCCUGUUUUCCUGAGAGUAGGUGCAGGCAGGAAUCCUAAUGCAAGACAAUGCCAGAACUCCUGAGAGGUGCAGGGAGUAAACCAAAGACUAGGCUAGGCAGAAUGCAGCAGUGGGGCUGGGAUUCCCCUGGGUUUCUUGCUAACGGGAUAUGCCCACCAUUGGUUCCUUCUCCUAUUGCAACCAGGGAUGCUCACACCCUUUAUGGAGGCUAUGGUGGGUAGUCAUUGACCCAAUAAUGCCAUGAGGACUUUGGCUCUGCAAGUUUGAGCCUCUGAGCAUGGCUAAAUGUAUUACUCAAAGACUCAGGCAUUCAUAGAAGAUGGUAAGUUGCAGAUUCUUCAGAUGUUGGAAGUCGUGCUGCCAAGGCCAUGCGUUCACAUUUAGUUUCCUUUAUUGUAGCCGCCUGAGAGAUGACAGCCUGGUGCCGGCGGGAAAUUCCUCGAGGGCGAGGCGGCUUUGUUUUGCACCCAAUGCUGAUUGGCAUGCCCAGACAUCAAAGAGAUAAGUGGAGGGCUGUGAGCCACAGAGGGGUUGAAAGUGGGGUGGCCAGUCAGGCGUCAGCAGGAGGGUUUUUUGAGUCAGAUUUGCAGUCCGGGAUGGCCAAGAUGUGACCCUUUAGGCCACAUUGAGGGGAAGUCUCCAUUUUGAUCACAGUGCUGAGGUGUGCAGGGCAGAGCAGUCCCAGGCCAUGUGGAGUCACUUGUCUGUUGUGCACUCUGUAUCUUUUGGGUGUCUCGCCUUCUGUGUCAUCGUCCAUAGCCCUGCAAGGGACCUUCUGGAAUCCCUGGCUUUGGUCUUAGCAUUUGCGUUCUCUGCGUUCCUUGGCUCAGCGCCUUGGACUCGAGAGCUCGCACGCACAUCGGAAUCGCAUCUUUCUUUAGAGGCAUUCGGUCCCAGGUCUUUUCAGGUCUUGUUCUGAGCUGUUCUGACAGCUGUGCACUGCAACGAUCCAUUGUGGUGGCUUAAGCCUUGUAAGAAUGCCGAGCUAGGUCGAGGUAUCUGACCGUAGGGUUCUCAGGCAUCUAUCUUUGCGGUUCUUGGACGAAGCAGUUCUGCUGGCAUCUUCUUGCUGCUGGGUUCUUUGAGCCUCAUCGGCUCCCCAUCGGUCUUAGCUUGGUCAUCUCCUUCCUCAUUCUCUCUGCCCUCAGGGUCAUUCUUCUUGCCGAGCCUUUUCUCUCCCUGUUGUGUCCCUCUCGAUGGUGGUGUCCUGUGUCACGGGUGUUGGUGUGCGUUUGGCCCUGCGCUGCUCUGCCCUGCUGCGUAGCCUGGGUGUAGGGGUAAUAGGACAUGUCCCGGGGACUUGAAGUUUGCAGUGUAGGGUGUAGUGGGAGUGUAGAGGGUAUUUCUGUAUGGGCACAAGAUGCCUGGGGCUUUUAAGUUAUCCUGCAGCGCUCUGACUUUUGUGCUAACUCUCUUUCAGAUGCGGAUGGAUUAGAUCUGUGGCAGAGCAUACCAAGGAGGAAACAGCUGUGGGUGAGAGACUUGCACACUGAAGGUAGUUGGCAAAAAUGGAGAGAGCCACUGGAAGGCCUUAUACCCAGUCCAAGGUUCUCACUUUUCUCUCUGAUGCCUGGAUAAUUGCUUGACCAUAACCAGACACUGUCCAUUUGAUUUUGUACCUUUUCCAAUAAAUGGUUACUUUCAGCUGUAGUCUGUUCCUGGUGUCAUCCUCCUCUGUUGGAAUGGCACACAAAACAACAACAUGGAGGCAGGAGGCCCACAGUGAAAGGCCACUCCCCAAAAAGAGGGCGAGCCUGUUUAUUUCUUCCAUUUUUAUACAUUUGUGGGUCUGGUUAUGGAUUGCAUCUGAGGUUACUACCCCUUCACCCCACUGGCCAGACCAGCUGUCAACCAACAUUAUUUUCAGGCUAGAAAUAUGUAAACAAAGGCCAGUGAACAAAAACAAGAACGGUUGCUUAUGUUCCAAAGUGUGAGAGUGAAAAACUGACCGUUCAUAUUGAACAGAAACAUCUUCUGAACAAGUAGAAGGCUUUAAAAAGCCAGAAAAACCAGAGCAACACUCCUCCUCCAUGGAUUUGUAAAUAAAGUUCCUGAUUUUUGCCAAGUUGACUUUUGUUAUUCUGAGAAUUGUGGCUCUUUUGUUCCAUUGAAACUUCCACACUCUGCUGAGAGUUUCAGAUGUCAAAAUAUAAGUAAGAUCGGAGUUUAUUUGCAUUGUUACUACCACAAAAUACAGAUCAUUCUGGGAUAGGAAUAACUACACAUGUUUAGUUCACACUACCCUUUAAAAUCAGAGCAGAGGAAGCAGAUUUUAAAUCAUCAUAAGCUUCCACCAACUUCCUGACUGUUCCAAAAGUUUUUACUUAUAAAAAAUCCUGAGGUUGUUUUCUAGGCAAGCUGAGAUUUAGAUGUUAUUCAUUCCUUUUAUUUGAUGAUUUUCCUCUCUCUGAUUUUAGUAAGGGAAUAUUUAUUUCUUCGAAUAUUCCAUACUAAUUGGAAUUUUUGUACAUCUUAAGGCACAUUUCCAAGGAAAUGUACCAAAUUAAUGUUAGUAAAUCAAGCAUUGUUCAGCACCAUAUCCACAAAAUUCUGUAAAUUCCCAGGAACAAUUGCUGAGUGUUUAAUUGCUAUAAUGAAUCUCUCAGUGAAGUUCAAUUUACUGCAUUUUAAAUUACAUGAAUCGCAUUAAAACUUAAAUCCUGGCCUAAUUGCUGUUCCUUGGAUGCCAUGGAGUGUUUCUUUUGGGUCUUGGUACCAUUGUUUCCCACAAAAAUAGAAUUUGUUUCAAGCAAAA